rnacentral:lncRNA from 1 species
GCUCCGGGAGCGCAGAGGCAGCGGGAGGAGGAGGCCGCGAGCGCCCGCACGGAGCGGUGAGAGGGGGCAGCGAGGGGCUGGGGGGCGCAGGGGGGGUGGGAGAGGGGCUCGGCUGCUGCUGUUGAGGCAGGAUGGGAAUGAAUAGACUUGACUCAGAAGGUUGUGAGAGUGAAACUUCGAUUUAUUUAAAAUACACCGCUCCUUUAUACAGAGCUCCGUGAGGACUAAAUCUAUUGAAGUGAAAACAAUCCACAGCUUUGGUGUACAGUGCUUGACACAGAACUUACCUAUAAACAAUGUGAAAAACAAGAGAGAUAAAGAAUUAUUUACAUUCUUAUUUAGCUCUUUCCCAGGCGUCUGCCUGGCUAGAAACUCUCAGUUUCUCUCUUUGACUGAAUCCGAGUCCCACACUCGGCCACCCCAGGGUUGGCUAAGAUUGCUCACAGGGGGGGUCCCACCACGCUGGAAAUCUUCAUGGUGCCCCCCCGCCCACCGAGGGGGGACCCAGUGAGGUUCCCCACCUUUGGAACACCCCUUGUACCCCCAGAACAAGGAGCCGGGGGUCCCUCCGACCCUCCCAGCCGAUGACUCCUACGAAGACACCGAACCCCCCGAGCACGGCGGCGGCGACAGCGACAGCAGCCACUACGAGUCGUACGGAGAGGAGGAAGAGGAGGAGGAGGAGGAUGGGGGGGUGACGGACCGGGCCCAUUACCUGCGCUGGCCAGCGGGCACCAGCGCCGAGCCCCCCGAGCCCCCCGGGCGCCCCGAGGCGCAGCUCUGCGGUUUCCUCUGGAGGAAGCGCUGGCUGGGCCGGUGGGCCAAGCAGCUUUUCAUCGUCCGGGAGCACGUCCUGCUGUGCUUCAGGUGUGCCGCAGACCUGCAGCCGCUGCUGCAGCUGGACCUGCGCGGCUGCCGCGUCUCCUGCAAGGACAAGAGGGGCAAGAAGAUGCCCCAUGCCCUGAAGGUGGCAGGGAGGGCAGGAGAGGUGCUGGUCAUCGGCUUCCAGAGCCGGCAGCAGGCUGAGGACUGGAGGAAGGUGAUCGAGGAGGUGAGCAGCGAUGGCCCGAGCGGGCUGGCGGCUCUCGGGGUCCCAGCGCCGCCUUCCUCCAGGCCCGGCAGGAUUCGGGGAUCCCCCUAUCCCCACUCCGGGCCUGCCUCACCGCAGCUCGGCAAGGAGGAAGAGGAGGAGGGGAGGAAGCGCUGCCGGCCGAGCCCCGCGCGGCGCGGAGAGGACGGCAAAGGAGGGUUCCCGGUGCUCCGGCAGCGCCUGCGGGCCGCGCUCCGUCGCGGAGCCCUGCGGGUGCUGGCGGUGCCCGGCGCUGCCCCGCGCCCGGAGGGGUGCCGGGGGUCCCCCGGGACGGCCGCCGGAUCCCCCCAAAACCUCCGCGCCCGCAUCGCCCAGCGCGGCCGGGAGCUGGCCCGGCUGCAGGCCCGUCCGGACCAGGGGAGCGAAGCCCGGCUGAGGACCCCACAGACCAGGGGGGCAGCGGAGCCCAAGAAGGGCGAGGGGCCCCCGCCGAGACCCCCGAGGCCGAGCAGCCGCCCCGCUGCCGGGGGGCUGCUGCUGCGCCGUGUGCCCACCCCCAACGCCUACAUGGACGAUCCCUCCGGGCACCCCCCGCCAGCCGGGACCCCCAAACAUCUCUCGUGCAGCGCGGAGCGGCUGCAGCAGCUGGUAACCUCUGCUGGUGCUCUGUGCCCCCCGCUCCUGCCCCUCAGGGGGGCAAAUCCACUCCCACUGUCCCUGUGCCCGUGGGUCUCACCGUCCCUGUGCCCCCGGGUACCAUCCCCGUGCCCACGGGCUUCACCAUCCGCUUCCCCCGGGCUUCACCGUGCCCGUACCCCCAGGGUUUCACCAUUGCCUUCCCCCGGGCUGUGCCAUCCCCUUGCCAUGGGCUUCACCGUGCCUGUGCCCGCGGGUUUCACCAUCCCCAUGCCCCUGGGUACCAUCCCUGUGCCCACGGGCUUCACCAUCCGCUUCCCCCGUGCUUCACCGUGCCCUCACCGCCGUUCUUCACCAUCCCUGUGCCCCCGGGUACCAUCCCCGUGCCCGUGGGUUUCACCAUCCGCUUUCCCCAGGCUGUGCCAUCCCUUUGCCACGGGCUUCACCGUGCCUGUGCCCGCGGGUUUCACCAUCCCCGUGUCCCCGUUCUUCACCGUGCCCUCGCCCCCGGGUUUCACCGUCUCCGUGUCCCCGGGCUUUACUGUGCCCUCACCCCCGGGUUUCACAAUCCCUGUGCCCCCCGGGUACCAUCCCCAUGCCCGUGGGUUUCACCACCUGCUUGCCCGCGGGCUUCACCAUCCCCUCACUCCCAUUUUUCACCAUCCCAGUGCCCCCUGGGCCGUGCCAUCACCUCACCCCCAGGUUUCACCCUCACCGUGCCCCCGGGCUUCACCGUGCCCUCACCCCCGGGUUUCACCGUGCCCUCACCCCCGUUCUUCACCAUCCCAGUGCCCCCUGGGCUCCACCAUCCCCUCACCCCCGGGUUUCACCAUCCCCUCAGCCCCGAGUUUCUCCAUCCCCGUGCCCCCGUUCUUUAUCGUGCCCUCACCCCGGGUUUCACCCUCACCGUGUCCCCGUUCUUCACCGUGCCCUCAGCCCCGGGUUUCACCGUGCGCUCACCCCCGUUCUUCUCCAUUCCCUCACCCCGGGUUUCACCAUCCCCAUCACCCCCAUUCUUCACUGUGCCCUCACCCCCGUUCUUCUCCAUUCCCUCACCCCGUUCUUCACCGUGCCCUCACCCCCGUUCUUCACCAUCCCCAUCACCCCCGGGUUUCACCCUCCCCGUGCCCCCGGGUUUCACCAUGCCCUCACCCCCAUUCUUCACCGUGCCCUCACCCCCGGGUUUCACCGUGCCCUCACCCCGGGUUUCACCAUCCCCAUCACCCCCAUUCUUCUCCAUUCCCUCGCCCCUGGGUUUCACCGUGCCCUCACCCCCGUUCUUCACCGUGCCCUCACCCCGGGUUUCACCAUCCCGUCACCCCCGGGUUUCACCGUGCCCUCACCCCGGGUUUCACCCUCACCGUGUCCCCGUUCUUCACCGUGCCCUCACCCCGGGUUUCACCCUCCCCGUGCCCCCCGGCUUCUCCCCGCAGCAGCAGAGCCUGGAGCGGGCAGUGCCAGGGCAGCGCCCCAGACCCGUGUCUGCCCUGCCCGGCUGUGCCAGCGCCGCGGGCGGUGCCCGGGCCUCGCCGGCAGGUGAGAGCGGUGGGUGGGAAUGUCCAGGGAGGCGGCGGUGCCCAGGAGAUUUGGGAUUUCUGUGUCCUCCCACCUUUCCCUUCCUGCUGA